rnacentral:misc_RNA from 1 species
UUUUGCAUGCCCUUUUGUGUUGACACACGCGCGCACACGUCUGGUUCGACAUCCCACUCAGAGCAAGCAGCACCCCUCACCCGCUCGCCCUUCGCCCGCAGGCUCGAACAGACAGACUCGCCAAGACGGAGAGUGCGCCUCUCCACCCAUCUCCCCGCUUUUCUCGCACUCUCAGGUGUUCGGUCCCCCUCAAAGGAAGCGUCGCCGCAUUCGCCCUUGUUGAUUGGUGCGGUCGCUGUUCAUGUGUACCGCCUGGCCUCUCCAUUAUCAUCCCCGCGCCUUCCUUACCCCCUCCCACCUUCCCCCUGUGCACAACAGCCGCCAAGCAUUGCCCAAGCACACGCUGGAGCACGUGCAUACUCGCUUCACUCUCUCGUCCUCUUCGUCUGGCGCCCAUCUAUCGCUUCGCUUUCUGUAUCCUUCUGAGGGUUCACUUUCUUGGAAGCGCUGCCCCUCCUCCUUGUGCGACUCUCUCCAGCACGACACCCUUGAGCGCCCUUCAUCCCCUGUGUACGGAGGGAGGAACUGAGGGCCUGGAGCACCGCUGUCGUCCCUCGCUGUCCUCUCGAUCCCAUCCUACUUGUUGGCGUGUGCUCGCUUCUCGCACGAUGGAGACGCUGCGGGCUGCGUGGGACUGGAUCAACUACCGCCCUCGCCGGUUCAGCGCGGAGAAUGGCCGCAACUUCCUCGAUAGCUACCCCGACUACCCGGCGUAUGCGACGGUACUCUACCUGCUGGCGGUGUUCUAUUUGCCAGACCUCCUAGCUCGCCGGCAGAUCAGCCUCCCCAUCAAGCACAUCGUCGCCGCCUGGAACCUGUUUCUCUCGGUCGUCUCCACCUACGGUGUUUUCUGCAUUUAUGGGCGCAUCAGAGAUGUUUUCUCGGUGCGCACCUUCCACAACUCCGUGUGCGAGCUGCUCGCCACCAGUGGCGCCAACGACAUCAUCACGCUGCGCGCCAUCCACGUGCACGCACACCAGAAGAUGCUCAUCGAGCAGCGUCAUCUGCCGGUGAAGUGGGUGCGCUCAACGCCGGAGGUGGCGAAAGAGAUAACGUCACUCUACGACGGCUCCGCUGGCUUUAGUGUGGCCAUGUUCAUGUACCUCAAGACACCCGAGCUGCUCGACACGCUCUUCCUCGUGCUGCAGCGCAAGCCCGUCUCCUUUCUGCACUGGUACCACCACAUCGCCACCGCCAUCUACGUGUGGCUGUCGUCGUACAUGCCAAUGCCGAGCGGCAUCGUCUUCUGCGCCAUGAACUACUUCGUGCACUCCUUCAUGUACUUCUACUACUUCCUCGUCAUGAUGGGGCUGCGCAAGUCGAUUCGCCCCUUCGCGCCGGUGAUCACGCUGCUGCAGGUGCUGCAGAUGUUCAUUGGCAUGUACAUCACCGUGUACACGUACUUCCAGUACUGGCUGGGCCCCGAGUACAGCAACACGCUCUUCUUCAAGCUCUUCGAGGUGGUGCUCAGCAACGCCUACCACGCGUACUGCAACGCGAAGAGCGUCGUGACGACUGGCGCGCUGGCGUCGCAGGUGCCCGCGUUCGACAUGUCUGACCGGUUCUGGGGCUGUGACAGCGACCCAACAUGUAUGCGCAUGGGCAUGCUGAUGUAUGGCAGCUACUGCGUGCUGUUCGCGGUGCUGUUCAAGGAGCUGUACCUGGACAAGCGCGUACACGAGAACAGCCUCGUGCUGGCGCGCAAGGAGCAGCAGGCGAAGGUGGCGGCGUAGCGACACCGUGAGCGCAAUGCCCAGCGCCAAGCGGCAGGAACGUUCGGCUUGUGUGGAACACGUGUUUUCAUGUGAAGGGCAGCAAGGGCGCUGUGUGUGUGUGUGUGGGUGUGUGUGUGUGUUGGUCUGUUUAUGGUUUUCGGUUGUGUAUGUAUCUCCUUCGCCGCCCCAUUAGCGCAGGUGUCAUCCUCUCAUGUAGCUCUAGUAGCUUUCCUUGUAGUUUUGUGUAUUGUUCCUUGUGUGUUGGCUUUUGCGUGUUUUCUUUUUGCUAUUCUCUCACGUCCAUGCCUCCCCUCCCGGUCCCCCGACGUUCUGCCAAGGCUCGCCGGCGUGUCGAUCUCUGUGUAUGGGGUCGUGAUUCUUCACGCUUGUCUUUUCUCUUUUUUUUUGCUGCUGCUGUGUGUGGCAGAUGCGGCUGUGUGUACCGGCGCAUGCAUGUCGGAUGCACUUGUGAAAGUGUGUGCAAAUAUGGCAGCGCGGAAAAGACUAUGAGAAACGCCCUCACACACACGCACACACACACCAACGCGAUUUGUCUCACUUUUUCCCUCUCUCUCAGCCCAUUCCCCGCCCCCUCUUCUUCCAUGUCCUCUGUCCUUUAGAUGUUGUGGUGGUUGUUGGGGGGGGGGGGGGGCGGGUUUAGUUAUCUGUGCAGCGCUCCUCUCAUCCGUCAUCUCCCACUGUGUAUCUCUCUCUCUUCUACCCUCCACCUCGCGCCCCACCCCACCUCCUUCUUUUUUUCUCGUUUAUUUUUCUCUUGCGUCGCCGAGUGUCCGUGAGGUGGCUCAAGCACACACAAAAUGAAAUGAUUGAGAGACACGCUGGCCGCCUGUAUUCUCACCCUCUCUUGCUGCUCGAGUGGUUUCAAAGGUAAGUCGAGCCAUCAUGCACGUUUGCCGCGCACGCGAGCGUCUUUUUUUUUCCUUCCCUCGUCCUCCUCUCCACUUUGGCCCGCCACCUCCGCGCUCCCCUCAUCCUCCGUCGCACACAGGCACGCUGACGGAGGUUGCCGCUGACGCACAGCAGACACGCCUGGCCUUUAUUCUUCUUCGUGCCCUUUCGACCCUCUAUGCUCAUUCAUUUGUUAUUGUUCAUCUUCCUAGUGAGCGCGCCGCUCCUGUUGUUGUUUUGGCGCUUCGUUUUUCGUUUCAGGCGCGAGGUUAGGAGGUAUCCAUGUGCAUAGCCUUCUUCUCAUCCACACCCCCCUCUUUUCACGUUUUCCCCAUGUAGUCAUGUUGACGCUUAGCCUCUUUUGCCCGCCCCCCUCUCGGUGUGCAUGUGCGCACGUGCGUGCGCCCGCGCCUGCAUCUCUGUGUCUAUGCCCUAGUUGAUGCAGUCGCUAAUCGUGGUGGUCGUGGCGGCUUCGUUUUUGUUGUUUUUCCUGCUUCCCCGGAUUGCUGGGCACGCACGAUAGUGGGCAAACAGUGGUUCAUCGCUGUCAGCGAAAAGGAGCGGCGCGCCACUGCAUCUGCGAGGUGUCUUGUGCAGCGGUCAGACUGCAAGACGACACGAUGCAGCAGUCGUCGGGGGGGGGGGGUGUAAAGAGAAUCAUUCAUGCACCGUCUCGCGUAGAGAAAAGAGUAGCGGUGCGAAAGCCGUCCAGUCGCCUUCAUCUACGCGCGAAGUCACCCGACCAGCGCGAACGAAGAGGGGGAAAAGGGCGAAUCAGCUCAUGACACGGGCCUCGAUCCCGCUCAACGGGGACUUUCCUCAAGCUCCUCUGCGGGUGCAUCUGUGCGCAGAUGAGCGACAGUGUGUGCGCCGGCCUGGCGUUGGUUUUGCUUUGGUGUGGCGGAGCCCCAACGCUCUCAAAUCUCUCCCUCUCUCCCUGCGCUCAUGCGUAUAUGUGGAUGUCGAUGCAUUUUUUUGUUUUUCACGUUUCCCGGCCUUGUCGUCGUGGUGGUAG